UUUGCUUGUUUAAAUUUAUCCACUUGUGUGACAAAUAUGAUUUAAAAUAAAAACAAUAAGUGUGUUUGAAUUAACUUGUGAGGGCAAAUGACAAUAAAGAACCAAAAUAACAUAACAACAGGGACAUUUAGGUAAGAUUGCCAGAUAUUUACUAUCUCCUCGCUCGUGAGUUAUCUGUUGCUUGGACCAAAAUAUCUCCUGUUCUUAUCCGGGAGGGUGCACCGUCCAGAUCCAUCUUUCUAUCCGUUCUUAUCCGCUCUGCUUGGAAAGAUUUUUGUACGAGGUUGGGAACUAUAAAUACCGUAGGUGCUGACCCCUAGCGACCAUCCAAGCUCAGUUCCCCCGUCAGUCCCAUAUUAUGAGGUUCUGCUACUUCUGAGUAAUAAGGCAGCUAGCUUGUAGAGGCGUAGAAGGCAAUCGCGUGGGAAGGAUUGAGUGUUGGUGAUCAGAGGUCAGGAGGAGGUGGAAGUUUAAUCGCUGAGGAGACUCAAGGCAAGCUGCGUAUACCAGAAUCUUCUUGUGUGCUUUGUAUUCCCUUGAUUGAUUUAUUUGGUUGCGAUGCUUAUAUGUGUAUUGUUUGCUACAUCUCUAUAUCGGUAGAGCUACUUCCUUUGCAUUUUUAGCAUAUAUUAAUUGUUGUAUAUUGGUCAAGCAAGAUAAAAUAUGGGAUCAUAUAUCAACAAAUUGGUUGGUCAUAAUCAUGGAAAGUGUGGUGUAUCCAGCCUGAGACGGUCGAUACCUGAAAGGUGUGGGAUGGCAGGCCCGGAUGGGAAGGCCCACACAAGUAGGGGACUCGGCGACGUGAUUCUCAGAGAUCGAUACUAUCACGAGGUGGGAUUAUGACAAUUGAUUUGCUGAUACUCUGUAGAGGCUUAACUAAAACUUGAGUUUUAUUUGAUAUAUAUUAAGGAUGAUAUGGAUGUUGGUGUUGCUUGGUUUAUGCCAAAGGGCGUUUAGUCGCUAUGAGUGUAUAUCGCACCCUGCUAAACUAUGGGGAUAUAAUGCACUGUAAAAUCUGUAUAUUCUUGCUGAGUAUGUUUAACAUACUCACCGUCUUUUGUUUUUAUCUGGUAUGCGCAGAUCAAUUUUAGGAUCAAGUGGCGACGGCUGAAAAUCCAUAUGACGGCAUAUAGCGUAGAAGUGGAGCGAGAUAUUAAUAAAAGAAAAUAUCACUAGUGUUGUAAUAAAUAAGUUGUACUUGUAAUAUUUGAUAAUGAAUAAAGUGGAGACCUUGCUUGGCA